rnacentral:rRNA from 1 species
CCUGGCUCACGAUGAACGCUAGCUACAGGCUUAACACAUGCAAGUCGAGGGGCAGCAUGGUCUUAGCUUGCUAAGGCCGAUGGCGACCGGCGCACGGGUGAGUAACACGUAUCCAACCUGCCGUCUACUCUUGGACAGCCUUCUGAAAGGAAGAUUAAUACAAGAUGGCAUCAUGAGUCCGCAUGUUCACAUGAUUAAAGGUAUUCCGGUAGACGAUGGGGAUGCGUUCCAUUAGAUAGUAGGCGGGGUAACGGCCCACCUAGUCUUCGAUGGAUAGGGGUUCUGAGAGGAAGGUCCCCCACAUUGGAACUGAGACACGGUCCAAACUCCUACGGGAGGCAGCAGUGAGGAAUAUUGGUCAAUGGGCGAGAGCCUGAACCAGCCAAGUAGCGUGAAGGAUGACUGCCCUAUGGGUUGUAAACUUCUUUUAUAAAGGAAUAAAGUCGGGUAUGGAUACCCGUUUGCAUGUACUUUAUGAAUAAGGAUCGGCUAACUCCGUGCCAGCAGCCGCGGUAAUACGGAGGAUCCGAGCGUUAUCCGGAUUUAUUGGGUUUAAAGGGAGCGUAGAUGGAUGUUUAAGUCAGUUGUGAAAGUUUGCGGCUCAACCGUAAAAUUGCAGUUGAUACUGGAUAUCUUGAGUGCAGUUGAGGCAGGCGGAAUUCGUGGUGUAGCGGUGAAAUGCUUAGAUAUCACGAAGAACUCCGAUUGCGAAGGCAGCCUGCUAAGCUGCAACUGACAUUGAGGCUCGAAAGUGUGGGUAUCAAACAGGAUUAGAUACCCUGGUAGUCCACACGGUAAACGAUGAAUACUCGCUGUUUGCGAUAUACAGCAAGCGGCCAAGCGAAAGCGUUAAGUAUUCCACCUGGGGAGUACGCCGGCAACGGUGAAACUCAAAGGAAUUGACGGGGGCCCGCACAAGCGGAGGAACAUGUGGUUUAAUUCGAUGAUACGCGAGGAACCUUACCCGGGCUUAAAUUGCAGAUGAAUUACGGUGAAAGCCGUAAGCCGCAAGGCAUCUGUGAAGGUGCUGCAUGGUUGUCGUCAGCUCGUGCCGUGAGGUGUCGGCUUAAGUGCCAUAACGAGCGCAACCCUUGUUGUCAGUUACUAACAGGUUCCGCUGAGGACUCUGACAAGACUGCCAUCGUAAGAUGUGAGGAAGGUGGGGAUGACGUCAAAUCAGCACGGCCCUUACGUCCGGGGCUACACACGUGUUACAAUGGGGGGUACAGAGGGCCGCUACCACGCGAGUGGAUGCCAAUCCCCAAAACCUCUCUCAGUUCGGACUGGAGUCUGCAACCCGACUUCGUGAAGCUGGAUUCGCUAGUAAUCGCGCAUCAGCCAUGGCGCGGUGAAUACGUUCCCGGGCCUUGCACACAC